UAGAGAUAGCUGGUUAUUCAGGAAAAGGAUUUUAGUCCAACUUUAAAUCUUCCCUUAGCACCAAAUAAACUAAAAGAUUUAAAUUUUAUUCAAACAGGGCACAGCCUAUUUGAAACAGGAUACAACCUCCAAGAUAGGGUAAUGAUUCCCCACGUGACCAAGUAGGCCUAAAAGCAGCCACCUUUCAAAAGGCGUUACAGCCUUACCACCCAAUCCACUCAUACCACCAUAAACUCAAAACCCCUCCCCCACACUGAAUGACCCCAUAUUAAUAUGGAAGACCUAAUGUUAGAACUAGUAACAAGAAAUGCCAUUCUCCCACAAACGUAAGUGUAAGCCGGACUGAACCCUCGCCGGCACUCACCGUCAAUGAACCUGUAGUAGAGACCACGCAAGAAACCCCUACUUCCCCGUACGUUAGCCUUACACUAGAACUUUCCUGGAAAGAUUAAAAGAAGGGGAAGGAACUCGGCAAAUAUUAACCCCGCCUGUUUACCAA
rnacentral:rRNA from 1 species